rnacentral:lncRNA from 1 species
AUCACUCACCAUUUUAAUAUUCUAAAUUUAGCAACUGCUCUUAUACCUAAUGAUUAAUAAUAUAAGUUGUUCUAGUUUCCUUUAUCCGCUGUGGUAUAAAUUUGGCUGUUAAUCCAAUAAUAAAACUAUUUAUAUUUUUAACUUUUCAAAUAUCAUUACUACCGCUAUUUACUAGUCUCAGUGACAAUCUGAGAUCCUCCUUAGAUGCUUAGAGGAAUCUUUAUACAGGGUUAUAAAUAGAGAGUUCUAAUGAUUAAAAUUUAAAAUGGUAGCAAUGACAAGUCCACUAUAAACAUAAUAAAUAAAUCAUUACCUUCUCUAUUAAUGAACAGAAACUUCAGUAUAUUACAGCUAAUAUCUUGAAAGAUUUUAGAAGUGCAGCAAGCUGGUACUCACACCUAAUAAAAAGGUCUUAGUGAAAAUCAUCUUACAACUUACAACAUUUGCAUUGUUCUUUACAAAUGUUGUUUCCAUCCCAUGCAAGACAAUUAAUCCAGAAUUAUUUUGACCACAAAUUUUUCUUUCUAAUUAAUUGGCCAAACACAAUGUAAAUAAAAUAGGAAAUGCUUCAGUUAAUAUUUACUAUAUAAACAAACAAACAGAUAGUGGGAUAAUGGUUUUAUCUAUCACCAUAUUCUAGAAUUGUGCCUGGCAUUCAGUAAGCACCUAAUGGAUUAACAAAUAUGUACUUAUAGAUGUCUGCAGACCAAGGUGAAUUUAGUGAAUAUCAAAAACUUCUUGAGUGCUCCAUCGUAACGCCAUUUAUCUUGACAUAAACUGCAAAGAUGGCUCAAAUGUCGAUAAGGAUAUCAGUCAGGGUCUCCAGUGGCUGCAGCCUAUCGCAGAAGCUCAGGGUGCAAGGCAAGAAGUAAUCGUGGGACCAGGCGCCGUGGCUCUCGCCUGUAAUCCCAGCACUUUGGGAGGCCGAGGCUGGUGAAUCACUUGAGGUCAGGGGUUCCAGACCAGCCUGGCCAACAUGAUGAAACCUCAUCUCCACUAAAAAUACAAAUAUUAAUUGGAUGUAGUGGUACACGCCUGUAAUCCCAGCUACUCGGG